UAGUUUUGCCCUAAGUUAAAUUUCUCUAGCUUUGACCAAAGUUUAUAGAAAAAUAUAUUAACGUCUACAAUACCAAAUAAAUGCACUAUCAAGACAUAUUUUAUGGUGGAUUUAAUGAAACUAAUUUGAUGUUGUAGAUGUUGGUGCAUUUUUUUAAUAAACUUGGUCAAAGUUAGAGAAGUUUGACAUAGGACAAAACUAA
rnacentral:pre_miRNA from 1 species